rnacentral:lncRNA from 1 species
AUGGUCCUGUUCAUGGAACCGAGUGAUUCUACAUUUUCUCUGGAAGAAGGAGCAGACAAAAAUGUAGACACAAAGAAGAUAAACAGGAGGCGGAUAGGUGGAGAGUUCUAUGAGGACCAAACGCAAGAUUAUUGGCAGAGGAAAUGCAUACGUGUUAGACCAAGAGGGUGCACUCAUUCUCAGGGUGGCCAUUGCAGACUACCGUAGACUGAGUGGCUUAAAAUCUCCAGCCUGAGUGAUGGAGUGAGGCUCCAACUGUGGAAAAAAAAAAAAAAGGAAGAGGAAGAUUCGGUGGGUUUUUAUGGGGUAUUGGCAUAUCGGGCCACUGCACUCUAGUCUGGGUGACAGAGUGACACCCUGCA